rnacentral:rRNA from 1 species
GAUCAUGGCUCAGGAUGAACGCUGGCGGCGUGCUUAACACGUGCAAGUCGAACGAAGCACUUUAUUUGAUUUCUUCGGAAUGAAGAUUUUGUGACUGAGUGGCGGGCGGGUGAGUAACGCGUGGGUAACCUGCCUCAUACAGGGGGAUAACAGUUGGAAACGACUGCUAAUACCGCAUAAGCGCACAGGGUCGCAUGACCUGGUGUGAAAAACUCCGGUGGUAUGAGAUGGACCCGCGU